rnacentral:tRNA from 1 species
GGCCUGCUAGCUCAGUCGGUCAGAGCGUCGUGCUAAUAACGCGAAGGUCACAGGUUCGAUCCCUAUGCAGGCCA